GCCCAGACCGACGACUCACUCCCCACUCCAGUCCCGAAGCUGACCGGAAAACCCCCAUCUUCUCCACCACGAUGGCCGCCGCCGCCGCCAGGUCUCUGCUCCGCUCGUCGGCCUCCCUUCUCCGGACCGCCCCCGCCACCGCGAGGUCCUCGGCUACGACGCGUCCGUCUCUUCGGCGCGCAUUGGCUGCUCCUCCUCGCCUCCUCAGGUCGCCCGUCGAGUCGAGCUUCUGCGUGGAGUCGCUUCUGCCUCUGCACACCGCCACCGCCGGUGCACGCAUGACGUCCAUGCUCGCCGCUCCUGGCCGAGGCCUCGGCUGGCUCACCCAAGGAUCUGAUGAAACUAGAUGAAGAGCAGACGGGGAAAGCUGAAACUGAUGGAGUAUGAUGCCCCAUGUCGGUCCUUUAGGAAUCAGGAGACCAGUUGUGCUUCGAGUUCUUCAAUGCUUGCAGGAAUCAAGAAGAGUUGAUGAAAGAAAAAAGAGAGAGAGAGAGAGAUUGCUUUUCUUUAUCUUUAUGUGAACUGUGAUGAUGACUUAAUAAACUAGACUAGAUCUUUGUAUGAUGCUCUGACCCUUUUUAUGUUUUUCAUUGACUAAAAUGAUUAUGUAAUGAUAACUACGGCAGGGGCUAAAUUGUUCGUAGAAGUAAGAUGUACACUUGAUUUAUCUGGUUUGAUUCUUCAUCA